rnacentral:tRNA from 1 species
UCCCUGAAGGUCCAGUGGUUAAGACUCUGCAUUUCCACUGCAGGGGGCACAGGUUUGAUCCCUGGUUGGGAAA